GAGAUAAAGGAAAAGCACUGGUGUGACCACCAGAUCUCCCAGCACAACCUCCAACAAAAUUUGCAGCUUGACAGUCUGUGGAAACAUCUUACUGAAUUAGAUCUUGAGUUGUAGGAUUCUUUUCAGAGGUUCACAACCAAUUUCGAGCACUUCCAGGACACUGAGUAAUUGAUUUAAAAAGCUGAGGUUCUGUGGCAUAUAAGUGGACCACUCACAAAGUUAUACCUACAAUUAGAUGUCCUAGCAAGGUAGCUGGAAGAAAGAUAAGCAAACCUUGUUGACUGGCAACAAUACUUCACAGCGAAAUGUUCUUAGUCUUUCUCAAACCAUUCAAUUCCUCCAAGGGAGCACUAAUCAUCUGCAGAGCCAGCUGGAGGAAUUGA
rnacentral:lncRNA from 1 species